GCUAACACCAAGGGUUUCGUGAUAAUUCUCACACUCACAAAGAGAGAGACAGGCAGAGAGAGAGAGAGAGGGAUUUGAUACCUCUCUCUCUCUUUCUCUCUCUAUUAUCGCAAUAGGUUGGAUUUUUCUUCAUCUCUUUCAACGGCAUCACCCAACAGCAAUCAUCAUGCCCUCCUCCUCCUUCUCCUUCCCUCUGACUUAUCUCCACCAUCAUCAUUACACCCUCACCACCACUUCAAACCCCACUUCCCUUUUACAUAUUCACAUCCCAAAACCAAAACAACAACAACAAGAACCACCAGAAGAAGAAGAAGAAGAAGAGGAAGAAGGAAAAAUAAAGAUCAAAGGAGCAGGGUUUACAUCUACUACAUGAUCCAACAACUCUGCGGGGAAUCAAGCGUCUCGGUCCGAUUAUUCGCUAGAUCAAGCAAAUCAUACAACUACUACUUUACAAGUUUUGGCUACAUGGGGUUUCUUCAUUUUCAUUUCACGGUGAUGAUGAUCACUUGAUUGAUUUUGUUUGCAUAUGUUCUUAUUAUUAUUUAGUCCGUCCUUGCAGCUUAGGUAUGAUUAAUUUAUAUAAGAAGAAAAAAACUUAAUUAUUGUUGUAUGUGUGAAUGGAUGUUUAUUACUCUUC